ensembl:lncRNA
UUGACAUGCCUGGGCCGGUUUCUGACAUGGGGGUCAGUAGAAGUGUGGGAUUGGCAGCUGUGGAGCGGAGUUGUGACCCGGCUCUUUGCCCUGCGGGUGCGACUGGAGGCCUUCUCAGACAACAGCGGCAAGCUGCAGCUCUCCCUGCAGGAAAUCAUCGAAUGGCUGACGGCCAAAGACGAGGAGCUGUCCGAGCAGCUGCCCAUAGGGGGCGACGUGGGGGCGGUGCAGCACCAGCGGGAGUUCCAUCAGGCCUUCAUGGAGGAUGUAAAGUCCAGGGGACCAUUCAUCUACUCGGUGUUGGAGUCUGCCCAGGCCUUCCUGGCCCAGCAUCCUUUCCAGGAGCCUGAGGAGACGCUGCCAGAUGGCAAAGAGGUGUCGCCGAGGCGGCGAAUGUUGAACGUGAGCCGCUCGGUGUGGAAGCAGGCCAACGUGGCCAGCGAUCUGUGGGAGAAGCUGACGGCACGCUGUGUGGACCGGCACCGGCACAUGGAGCGUACACUGGAGAGGCUGCUGCAGGUCCAGGCAGCGAUGGAGGAGCUGGCUGGAGCUCUGGAGCAGGCUGAAGGAGUGAGGGAUGCCUGGGAACCUGUGGGAGAUCUCUUCAUCGACUCACUGCAGGACCACAUAGAUGCCACCAAGCUGUUUAAGGAGGAGUUGUCUCAAGUCAAGGAGGGCAUGAAGCACAUCAAUGACCUCGCCCACCAGCUAGCCAUCUCCGACGUGCACUUGUCUAUGGAGAACGCCCGCGCCCUGGAGCAUCUCAACAGCAGAUGGAAGCUGCUGCAGGGUUCCAUUGAAGAGCGCCUGAAGCAGCUGCAGGAUGCCCACAGAGAUUUUGGCCCCGGAUCACAGCACUUUCUCUCCAGUAAGAGAGCUAUCACGCUCGGGCUUGCACCGGGCCGCCCGCUCCAUCAGGCCCAGACCACCUGCUGGGAUCAUCCAAAGAUGACAGAAUUGUACCAGGCUCUGGCGGACCUGAACAAUAUCAAGUUCUCUGCGUACCGGACGGCGAUGAAGCUGCGGCGAGUGCAGAAAGCUCUGAGAUUGGACCUGCUGAAGCUGACCAGUGUGACGGACGUGUUCCGGGAGCAGGAGCUGCAGCACGGCGAGUACGUGAUGGACGUGGUGGAGGUGAUCCAUGCCCUGACCGCUCUGUAUGAAAGACUGGAGGAGGAGAGAUCUGUACUCAUCAACAUCCCUCUCUGUGUGGACAUGUGCCUCAACUGGCUGCUCAACGUCUAUGACAGCGGCCGGAACGGUAAGAUGCGGGUGCUCUCCUUCAAGACGGGGGUGGUGAGCCUAUGCAAUGCAGAUGUGCAGGAGAAAUACAGAUAUUUGUUCAGACAGGUGUGUGGUCCAAACGGACUGACGGAUCAGAAGCACCUCAGUCUGCUGCUCCAUGAAGUUAUUCAGAUCCCUCGCCAGCUGGGUGAGGUAGCAGCCUUCGGGGGGAGCAACGUGGAGCCCAGCGUCCGGAGCUGCUUCCGCAUGGCCCCGGGGAAACCAGCUAUCGAGGUUUCUCACUUUCUGGAGUGGAUGAGUUUGGAGCCGCAGUCGGUGGUGUGGUUGCCUGUCCUGCACCGCGUGACGGCGGCCGAAUCUGCCAAGCACCAGGCGCGCUGCUACAUCUGUAAACAAUGCCCCAUCAAGGGCUUCAGGUACCGAAGUCUGAAACAGUUUAACGUAGACAUCUGCCAGAUGUGUUUCCUGACCGGACGAACAACCAAAGGCAAAAGGCUACACUACCCCAUAAUGGAGUACUACACCCCGGUACAAAUGGAAAGCCAGAGUUGCUCCUUCUUCACUGACAGCCUCUCUCCUGAUGAAAGUCUGGAUGAAGAUCAGUACCUCCUGCGUCACUCCAGCCCCGCCCUGGAACAGGACUCUCCGCCCGGGCCACACCUCCUCGCCCACCUCGACUGCCACAACAAGGAGGAGCUGCAGCGAACGCUGGCACGGCUGGAGAACGAGAACAGGAUGCUGCAGGGCGAGUACCGGCGGCUGAAGUGGAAGCACGAGGAGGCGGCGGCAGCUCCGCAGCUGGUGGAGGGCGGCGCGGGAUCGCCGGCGGGUCAGCAGGACGAGGAGCUCCUGGCCGAAGCUCGAGUCCUGCGGCAGCACAAGACCCGCCUGGAGACCCGCAUGCAGAUCCUGGAGGACCACAACAAGCAGCUGGAGUCGCAGCUCUGCCGGCUCCGGGAGCUGCUGCUGCAGGUGGGUGCUUAUCGCUUUCGUUUGCGAUAUUUAAUCAAUCAAUCAAUAAAUCAACCUUUAUUUCCACUCGAUAAAUACAUUGAGGGUAACCCUCAUUUUCAAUGCAGCCGAGCUUACAUAAAAUUAAAGGGAUUGAAAAAUAAGUUUAAAUUAUGAAAACAAGCAAAGAAUGUAAGAUUUAAUUAAGAAGAAAUUAAAUAAUUCAAAAUAUAAUGAGACAGGCUACAAUGUAAAACAAUAAAACAAAGAGAUAAAUAAAUAAUUUAGUACA